UACGGGAGGCAGCAGUGGGGAAUAUUCCACAAUGGGCGAAAGCCUGAUGGAGCGACGCCGCGUGAGUGAAGAAGGGCUUCGGNUCGUAAAGCUCUUUUCCUAAGGACGAAUGACCUUCUUGAANGGAGAGACAGGUACUUGGGGAAUAAGCCACGGCUAACUACGUGCCANCAGCCNCGGUAAUAAG
rnacentral:rRNA from 1 species